UUAAGUUCAGCGGGUAUCCCUACCUGAUCCGAGGUCAACCAUAGAAGACAAUUGGGGGUUGUCUGGCAAGACACCACCGGGCCUCCAGAGCGAGAGAUGUACUACGCUUGGAGCCGCGACGGCACCGCCACUGAUUUUAAGGCCUGCCCAGCGGCAGGGCCCAAUACCAAGCAGAGCUUGAGGGUUGAAAUGACGCUCGA
rnacentral:misc_RNA from 1 species